AGGAAGAGCAUCAGACAGCGGAAUGGAUAAGAGAAGUGGUUACAUGGUGUUGUUCCUUUUGGUGCUUCUUGCUUGUUCGGUUGGAGCUGAUUCAAGAGCCAUGCCCCACCUUACCGUCCAUGGACACGGCGGGCUCAAAUUACUAGCGGGUGUCAGAAAAUUGCAUCGCUACUACCCUGGUAGUGUUCCAUCUCCUAUACCAAACCAACAUCCUGAGGUCCAUCACUAGAGAAUAGAAUGGCACAACAGAUUGGCUGGUCCAGCAGUAAACGAUCGACUGCAACUUCAGUUGGGUGAAUGUUUGAUAGGAUCCAGGAGAUUUAUCUUAUGUAACUUGCUUCCGAGCACCACAAUCCAACCAAGAGGUCCGAAACAAAUAAAAUAAAAUAAAAUAAAAAUCAUGCCCAUCUUCUUGA